GGGAGCAAGGCGGAAAUUGAGGGCAUGGGGAAAUUAUCUUUACAUUGAUUGGCUGUCGUAGGCGGAAGUGUGUCCGAGAUCUCAAGCCUUCCUUGCUGGCCGACUAGACAACCACAUUGUAGCCUUUCAGCCGAGUCGAUCGUGAUCUUUGCAAGCACAAUAUUCUCGACAAGGGACGCUGAUUGAGCUGUAUCACUCAAAGUAAUAAAUUAUUUGGUCCUGUGGGGAUUACAAAACGACCCCCUGACCAAAAUAUUUCUCCCUCAUGCGGCAUUUAUACACAGGGGCACUCAUAUGGGUCAAGCAAAUGGAUGAGUCAAGACGUUAUCUGCUAUUAAACCUUUUAACUCCCAGAUCUUUUAAGUAAUUCACCUCACUGUCGCCAUACCAAUUCUUGUGAUGUUAGUUUGGAAAAUUUGGUAUUGGAUCAACCAAUAAUUCCUUAACAGAUAUUUUUCUUUCCUCUGAUCACUUGAAUUCAUGAUAUUGUAUUGACAUUGUGAGGGGGAAUUCUGUCUUGGUCACUCAUGGGAAUUAACGGUUAAAAUAUUUACUGAAGGUUUGGUAGAAAACAGUUAGCAGCUAGACUUUGACACCAGGGUCAGAACUAAAAGGUUUCAGCAUGCUAGGAACAGGGAAAUGUCUUGCACAAAUAGAACGUGAUGCGCUAACUUAUCACAUGACUUACUUUCAACGCGAUUCAGCGGAACUUGUUCAAAACACGUCACCUCCAAUGUUCAACUAUGUGGUUCAUUCAAUCUAAAUCUCUUUUUACUCGUGAUAUAUAAAUUAUUUGUAAACGAUGCUUUUGCUCGUGAUUCUCUUGUUUUUUUAGAAAUAAAAGACCCUAAAACUGUCAA